rnacentral:rRNA from 1 species
ACCAGACUCCUACGGGAGGCAGCAGUGGGGGAUAUUGCACAAUGGGGGGAACCCUGAUGCAGCGACGCCGCGUGGGUGAAGAAGCGCCUCGGCGCGUAAAGCCCUGUCAGCAGGGAAGAAAAUGACGGUACCUGAAGAAGAAGCCCCGGCUAACUACGUGCCAGCAGCCGCGGUAAUACGUAGGGGGCAAGCGUUAUCCGGAUUUACUGGGUGUAAAGGGGGCGCAGACGGCGAUGCAAGCCAGGAGUGAAAGCCCGGGGCCCAACCCCGGGACUGCUCUUGGAACUGCGUGGCUGGAGUGCAGGAGGGGCAGGCGGAAUUCCUGGUGUAGCGGUGAAAUGCGUAGAUAUCAGGAGGAACACCGGUGGCGAAGGCGGCCUGCUGGACUGCAACUGACGUUGAGGCCCGAAAGCGUGGAGAGCAAACAGGAUUAGAUACCCCAGUAAU